UGCGUGUGUGUGUGUGUGUGUGUGUGCAUGAGGGACAAAGACAGAGAGAGGUUACUUGAUGCUUUGUGUCAUGGUGUCAGGUGGCAUCAGCCUGUAGAUGGGAAGAUAAAAAUGAAAGACAAUCGAUAUCCGAGCACUGAAAUUGUUCUCAUCUGCUGCCGCCCUCUUGCACUACAUGUGUCCACGCACAUCUGCUGCUCUACCAUGUGGAAAACGGUUUGACUCGUAAACGAGAUGUUAUUCACAAAGUGAUGCCGUUGUACUGCUUUAAUGUCUGAUGCUGAAGUCAAAACGCAUGAAAAAGGAAAUGAUGUUGUGAAUGUGAAUUUUAAGCACAAACCAGUUACAGUUUGUUUCUCUCAAUGCGAUUGUAUUUUCCCUGUUAUAUCACAAAUGCUGCACAAGAAGCACAAUGAAUUAAUAAAUAACCACUUGGUUGUGUUUUCUAGGAGAAAAACAUUGGCCGGUCCGCUCCCAGAGUCACCAUGGUCCCCAUCAGCACAACUAUAACCAUGUGGCUCUAGGUAGCCCCACACGCACACCUAAGAAUGCAGCAGAUAAAGAAGUCGAUGACUACUACACGCGUAAGUGACACCUGCCCGACCUUGCAGCGAGAGGCACUC
rnacentral:lncRNA from 1 species